UAGGGAAUCUUCCGCAAUGGGCGAAAGCCUGCCGGAGCAACGCCGCGUGAGUGAUGAAGGUCUUCGGAUCGUAAAACUCUGUUAUUAGGGAAGAACAAAUGUGUAAGUAACUAUGCACGUCUUGACGGUACCUAAUCAGAAAGCCACGGCUAACUACGUGCCAGCAGCCGCGGUAAUACGUAGGUGGCAAGCGUUAUCCGGAAUUAUUGGGCGUAAAGCGCGCGUAGGCGGUUUUUUAAGUCUGAUGUGAAAGCCCACGGCUCAACCGUGAAGGGUCAUUGGAAACUGGAAGACUUGAAUGCAGAAGAGGAAAGUGGAAUUCCAUGUGUAGCGGUGAAAUGCGCAGAGAUAUGGAGGAACACCAGUGGCGAAGGCGACUUUCUGGUCUGUAACUGACGCUGAUGUGCGAAAGCGUGGGGAUCAAACAGG
rnacentral:rRNA from 1 species